rnacentral:rRNA from 14 species
AACCCGCACGCCGGAAGACCAAGGGUUCCUGUCCAACGUUAAUCGGGGCAGGGUGAGUCGACCCCUAAGGCGAGGCCGAAAGGCGUAGUCGAUGGGAAACAGGUUAAUAUUCCUGUACUUGGUGUUACUGCGAAGGGGGGACGGAGAAGGCUAUGUUAGCCGGGCGACGGUUGUCCCGGUUUAAGCAUGUAGGCGGAGGUUCCAGGUAAAUCCGGUACCUUUUUAACGCUGAGGUGUGAUGACGAGGCACUACGGUGCUGAAGUAACAAAUGCCCUGCUUCCAGGAAAAGCCUCUAAGCAUCAGGUAACACGAAAUCGUACCCCAAACCGACACAGGUGGUCAGGUAGAGAAUACCAAGGCGCUUGAGAGAACUCGGGUGAAGGAACUAGGCAAAAUGGUGCCGUAACUUCGGGAGAAGGCACGCUGAUAUGUAGGUGAAGCGGUUUACCCGUGGAGCUGAAAUCAGUCGAAGAUACCAGCUGGCUGCAACUGUUUAUUAAAAACACAGCACUGUGCAAACACGAAAGUGGACGUAUACGGUGUGACGCCUGCCCGGUGCCGGAAGGUUAAUUGAUGGGGUUAUCCGUAAGGAGAAGCUCUUGAUCGAAGCCCCGGUAAACGGCGGCCGUAACUAUAACGGUCCUAAGGUAGCGAAAUUCCUUGUCGGGUAAGUUCCGACCUGCACGAAUGGCGUAAUGAUGGCCAGGCUGUCUCCACCCGAGACUCAGUGAAAUUGAACUCGCUGUGAAGAUGCAGUGUACCCGCGGCAAGACGGAAAGACCCCGUGAACCUUUACUAUAGCUUGACACUGAACACUGGUCCUUGAUGUGUAGGAUAGGUGGGAGGCUUUGAAGUGUGGACGCCAGUCUGCAUGGAGCCAUCCUUGAAAUACCACCCUUUAAUGGCUGGUGUUCUAACGUGGACCCGUAAUCCGGGUUGCGGACAGUGUCUGGUGGGUAGUUUGACUGGGGCGGUCUCCUCCUAAAGAGUAACGGAGGAGCACGAAGGUUAGCUAAUCCUGGUCGGACAUCAGGAGGUUAGUGCAAAGGCAUAAGCUAGCUUGACUGCGAGAGUGACGGCUCGAGCAGGUGCGAAAGCAGGUCUUAGUGAUCCGGUGGUUCUGAAUGGAAGGGCCAUCGCUCAACGGAUAAAAGGUACUCCGGGGAUAACAGGCUGAUACCGCCCAAGAGUUCAUAUCGACGGCGGUGUUUGGCACCUCGAUGUCGGCUCAUCACAUCCUGGGGCUGAAGUAGGUCCCAAGGGUAUGGCUGUUCGCCAUUUAAAGUGGUACGCGAGCUGGGUUUAGAACGUCGUGAGACAGUUCGGUCCCUAUCUGCCGUGGGCGCUGGAGAAUUGAGGGGGGCUGCUCCUAGUACGAGAGGACCGGAGUGGACGCAUCACUGGUGUUCGGGUUGUCAUGCCAAUGGCAUUGCCCGGUAGCUAAAUGCGGAAGAGAUAAGUGCUGAAAGCAUCUAAGCACGAAACUUGCCCCGAGAUGAGUUCUCCCUGAGACUAUAAGUCUCCUGAAGGAACGUUGAAGACGACGACGUUGAUAGGUCGGGUGUGUAAGCGUAGCGAUACGUUGAGCUAACCGAUACUAAUGAACCGUGAGGCUUAACCUUACAACGCCGAAG